rnacentral:tRNA from 3 species
UGGGGUGUAGCCAAGUGGUAAGGCAGCGGAUUUUGAUUCCGCCAUGCGGAGGUUCGAAUCCUCCCACCCCAGCCA